GGGGAUUUAGCUCAGCGGCAUAAGCACCUGCCUUGGAAGCAGGUGGUCGUGAGUUCGAUCCCUG
rnacentral:tRNA from 1 species